rnacentral:ncRNA from 2 species
AAAUCAUAUAAGCAUUUCAGUCGUAUAUACGCAGAGAUAAGGUCUGCACGUUUCUACCGAGCUACCGUAAAUAGCUUGACUACGAUGUGAGAGGCAUUGUUU